rnacentral:piRNA from 1 species
UUAUGGAAAAGGCAACAGCAGAAUGGU